CUUGCACACAGUGAGCUGUAGUAGCUCCAGUGUCACCAAAUGCACAGCAUGCAAACUUACUGUGAACUCAAAACGUGUAUUUUUAGAUGAUUAACCUUCUAAUGUAAGACAGGAAAUGACUUCAGCCAAUACAGAGACAACACAGCUGAGCGUGUGGCUGGCAGGUAUUGCUGUUACGUGGAUUGAGAGGAGACAUGCUGGACAAUCCCACAGCAAUGGCAAAAGCUGUGACCUUUCUGGAGCUCAGCUUUAACCAAUAAAGGACAAGGAAUUUGCCUUUGUUAACUCUGUGUCUCUGUGCCUUGCUGCUGCCAAGGACCCAGGCGCUGGCUGAGGACCCGCGUGGUGCCCUGUGCAACACCCCCACACAGAAUGCAUUCGUCCAAGGGGCACAGAAGGACUCCAGCAAGAAGUGAGCAUUCAAGUGCUUUUAAAAAGCAGCAGCAGUAGUCAGCCCAACUAGGAGAAGAAACAGAGAAUUGGAAAAAGAAUAUCCAGCCUGCAAGUCCUUUCAGGUAUUGCAUUUUCAUUUGUUUACUUCCUGUUGCUUCUUAAAACAGAUAAGAUGAAGAGCUCUGCUUCUUUGCCAUGGAGGAAUCUCUGUAUCACACAGCUGAAGGCUUUGCAACUGAAGUUACAGCUCAAGUGUUUUGUAAAUGUAUUUACAAAAUUUGCAAGCUUAGUGCCUUCAGAAUGAUCUGUGCUUCAUGUGCACUGCAGUUAUCUAUGUUUUCUAUUAGGCAGGGAGGGCUGGUUCAAUAAAAGCUUGAGUAACAUACAGCAGUUCCAACAUCUGCAUCACAUUAGAGCAGACAUGAGACAAAACAUUGACUCUUGAGGUUAAAUCUAAAUUUCCUGCUGCAAUCCUGAAGUUUGAUUUGUUAGGAGAAAAGCAACCAAGAGGAACAGAAAUAGAGACUGCAACUAGAAAUAGAAUUCAAAGCCCAAUGGUUGCCAGCAAUUUGUUAUUUUUAUGAAGUGCCAUUUCAGUUAGAAAUAACAUGCUGACCACAAACAAUCCCCAAGCUAUAGCUGAAAGUCCCUUUUGGACUGGGACAGUUACAGCAGUCACUCCUCUGUAUUUUUAGACACCUUUCCUUUAACAAACUGAGCGCAGAGGAUGCAGUAGGGAAGGCAAAGGGUGUUCCCCUCUUUCUUACAGGAUUUUCAAAAUUCCAUCAUUUCCUACAACACGUUGCUCUCCCCCAUCGUCUUUUAGCUAAGGAGGCCUGGCUAGGGGGCUGCUUUUGGUACUCAUUAAGUCUGUCUUUUAAUUGGCAUUAAGAAGCCCUUUGUGCCUGGGAGCUAAAUUACUGCUUCCGCAUUGCUGCCAUUCCCUGCUGGUCCAGGGAACAAAAGGUGCAGCCUGGAAAGCCACCACCAUGCUGUCCCUCAGGCGCUGGUCCAGCUCUGCAAUGCCCAAGGGAUGGCCUUGCUGCUUUCUUCUUUUUUCUUUUUUUAAAUAGCCCAUUUUAUUUUAAAAUCGUAACAAAGUCAAGCUUAGUGCAUUAGAAGCUACAGACAAUUCAUGGAUUCACAGAAUGGCAGGGUUUGGAAGGGACCUCUAGAGACUGUGGAGUCCAACCCCCACAUGCUUGUUAAAAAUAUCACUGCUGUUGUAUUUUUUCAGUUUUACCUUCAAUAUCUUCCCCAGCUAAUUUAAAUCCUGAAUCCCAAAGGUAAGAAAACAGCUCUGCUCUGAGGGCAGAAAUGCAAAGCACAGAUGGGUGGCACAGAUACACACAGGGAAUUCUUGUGUCAUGCUGGGCAUCAAGCCCAAAUCCUGGGAUUUAGGCACAAUCCCAUGCUCAGUCCUGAGCCUUUCGAUAUCUCAGAGAUAUUUUCAGAGAAAUAAGCAUUUGCAAAGCUCUUUAUCAGGAAUUAUCUUGUCCAUAUUAAAAAACAACAACUACCAAAAAAAUAACCCAAAACCCAAUACCAAUGCAUUCAGGAUUACAGAUAUGUCAGAAAUAAAGGCAUAUCUUGUAUUCCAAACAUGAGCAAGGAUGCGUAUAGAGAUUUAUAUAUCUAUAAGCAUGCAGACAGUUAUGUACUCAAGCACACACAUAUAAGUGUGCAAAGGGCAAAAAGAUAAUUCCCAUCAGUUCUAGUGACAACUUCAGAUUUCAUUUGCCUCUUUCAAAUUCCGUUCCAAAACUGCUAAGGUGUUAGUUGUGCUACACUUCUGAGUGAAUAAAAAACAAAAACAGAAAACAAACAAACAAACAAACAAACAGCAAGAGAUGGACAAUGCAACACAUUUGUCCACUGUUAACCUGGCAGUAAUGGCAGACUGGCAGUGACAUAUUUAAGUUCACUUACACGAAGGCAUCUUAAAGCAUUCCUCAAAACCUCCUGAUGGCAUGAAAACUGCAAGGCUUAUCUCACCAUGGCACAGUGCAGCCACCUGGGUGACUUGCUUGUUGUAGUGAAAGGGAGGAUGACUCCAGAAACUGGCAGCUGGUACUGCAGUCAGCUCUACAAAAUGCUCUUACAGUAACCAGAGAAAAGACCUAGCCUGCCUCAGGUAACCAGGUUCCUGAAUUCACCCAACUACAGAGAUUUUAAGCAAUGCUAAAUAAAAUAACUCUAAGUAGGCAGCUAGAACGCCUAGGACACUAUUUUUAAUGAAAUACACUGCUUCAAAGGAAGAGGUAUCUCAGCUGUUUAUUUUCUCCUCACCUAUUUCAUCACAAAGUCUUCCCACUUCUAGGUGGGUACCUACCAUUCCCUGUCCUCCCCCAGAACAGAGUUCCUGGAGCAAUUGUGGAGAGCCCUGCACAGACCUUUUCCUUUGCAUACUGCAGAAGCUCUACUGAGUAAAAACCAACACUUUUACUGCUGAUGUUGCACCUAUGAUUUAAAUAUCAUCACCCUCCUCCCUUAUUCUUCAUUAGCUUAUUCAUCAUAGACUAUGCUUGUUUCAAAAGAAUGGGAUAGCAAGUACUUCCUUUUCCACUAGAAAAAAAAAAAAAGGAAGAUUGAAAAUAUUUAGGCCUCAAUGUAAGCUUGAAAAAUUCUUCAAUUUUUUUUCCAUGAUUUUUUUCCAAACGUCUUCCACAUUUAGAACAGCCAGAUCUAUAAAACAUAUCUCAGCAUGCUGAGCAGUGCCUGAAAGCCGGCUUCAUUGAAAGGUGAACAUUCAGGAGCAUUUCCAGCAGGAACAGCAGCUUUUGUGGAACCGUGUGGCUUUCCCACGCAUUUCCUGGGAAGAAAACUCAUAACUGGUUGUGCACACAGAUUACUGCAUGUUCAGUUGUCCAGUCUACUAUAAAAUUACAUUUUACUUACAUAAUUACAGUUACAUAAAAUUGCAAUCUUAUAACCACUGAGUAAGUGAAGAAAACUCUUAAACUUAUAAUUUUCAGACUGAAUUGCGCCUGUAAAUUUAGAAUUUUGUAUUAAGUAAUUUAAGGACAGAUGAAAAAUAAACCUGGACACACCUACACACUCUCAAAGGAUUUGACAUGAUUAAGAGUACUGUGUAAACAUGAGUACUGCAUUCAUGCAAAAAGCUGAUGUAAGUUUGCGAUGUUUAGAAUCUCAGACACUGAGUAUAAAGCAGUAAAGGGAUGCAUUUGUCAUGCUUUCUGAUUUUAUAGCUUAUUUUCAAAGUCUAAGAACAUUAAUCUCUUUGAACUGAGCUGCAAGGUAACAAUUAGCAUUUGGAGGGCUUUAGUAUAGGCUGGGAAAUUAGGUUAUGGAUGCAGUUGCUGCUUUGAUGUAGUCUUGUUUAAAAGCAUGGAUGUUCAAGUUUCUUUUUCAGCAUACAGCAAGAAUCAAGCACCUGAGGAGCAGUGCCCUUAGUCGAAAACUCAAGGCUGGCCACCAGAUGGUCCCUGCCAGUGAGGCAGAACAAUCAGCUACUUUGCAAUGGGAACUAUAGAAAAUCAGUGGAGAAUGUCAUAUUGGCAUGAAGCAGAAAAAAAUACACAAUUAAUGUAUGUGAGAAAGAAAAAUUCCUUCCACCAUCAGAAGUGCAUUUAAGUUGUCUUUGUGAUCGGUGCCUUGCAUUGCUAUGAAGGCUCCCAACAUCACCGGUUUUCCAUGGGAAAGCAAACUGCCUCACUUGCAACUGCGCCCCAGAGAAGAGGUAGAGGGCCGUGUCCAGAUUGCUCCAGCCAGAAGAAACCUGCCUGCCUGCUGUGAUGCAGAUCUACUGAAUGGAUUUAGGGGAAUGAAUGUCCUGUGAAGGGUUGGCCUGCAGGAGAUAUAUUCAAAUGAAUAAAAUAUCAGGUAUGUUUUAACUGUAACACUGACUUGGACCAAAAAAACUCAACUAAAGAAAUGCGCAUUUCAGAUGAUGGCUGUUUGACCAUGGCCUUCUAAAAUUUUGUUACAUGGAAAAAGGAACAGGCUGUUGUAUAAUUGCCAGCUGUAUGACUUCUCUGUCCUCCUUCAAUCCAUACAGUAUAGGACAUCGGUUAAGAACUGCUUUAGAUGAAUAACUGUGCUUUCUCGAUAUUACAGAAUUGAAAUACUUGGCAUGUUUUAAAUGCAGCUUGGUCUGAUCAUUAGUUUUUUUUGCUGCUAAUGUGUUUUAUUUUAUGCACUCAUUCCCUAUUUCACGUACUUAAGUAGCUCAGAGAAAUGAGCAACCUCAAGGCACACACACUCCUUGCAGAGUACAGGACCCAAUCCAGUUCACAUCGUAGGAAAAAAUUCUGAAUCCUUUGGCUCCAUCUCUAAGAGAAAGUUCAAGUUUCCUAUCUACGACAGCUGUUAGUACUCCACUGAACAUUUCAUGUUCAAACCUGUACUUUGAAAAUUUGCACCAGCUUUGCCACAAGCUUCACGAGCCAGAUGUGGGCACUGCUGCUCACCAGAUAGAGCAGACUCAAAUGUGCCCCUGGGUUUGGAGGGCAAAACUGCCGGCUCCGUGUGCCACACAUCAAUGAAGCACAGCAUAUCCACUCUGCUCUGGUGAUCUUUCAACCACAAAGCAUUGUUCUGCAACGGCAAUUGAUACUGAGGAGGAGCAGGAACCUUUCUGUGCACCUAGGAGUAGUUUUUCCAACAUGGCACCCUAAGGAAUGAAGCUGAUACUACUGAUAACACUUUGCCUAUUCAAUUCUGAACAAAUUUAAUAGGUUGAAAGACAUUUCCUGUAAGUUGCCUGGAUAUAAACAGUCAAGUAAAGGAAAACAGUUACAUGGAUGUUUCCAGUGAGGAGAAGAUUGCAGCCUGAGCUCAGAUUUUAUUGCACGUUAUAAAAUCUAUUCCACAGAGAGCUAGCGUGUGUGUCUUGAGUAUGAAAAACCUUCAUGCACCCUAUCAUAGGUCAUGUAAUUGCAAUGUGAGACAGAAAACAUAAUCAAUUAGUAAUGCUGCUCCUUAAACUACUGACGUUUAUCUGUCAAUUAAAAUCUUUGUAUAAAGUCUGUGACAUCUUUUGGCAUCAUUUUUGGUACUAGACUGCAUGUAGCAAACUGAUUGUUUUAAAAUGCUUAUUGUAAAUAUUUUAUAUGGCUCUCAACCCGAUAAGGCAGUGACAGGGAAUGCCUGGUAUUUGGGGCAUCCUGGAGGGGUGAAAAUAAAUGAUGGGUCUCACCCCAGUGGUGCCCUUUGAAGAGACCCUCGUUAGCCAGAUAAUGCUAUGGGACAGUUGUGGUUAAAUCCCAGUGGGGCUUUUGGAGUGUCAUCCACAAAAGCUUUGGUGAGAGCAGAAGUAAUUAGUUCCAGCUGAGCACACAGGCACAUAACUUUAGAAAGGUCUGGCUACUUUCAUGCUAAGAGGGGAAAAAAAACAAAGGUAUUUCUGUCCAGAAGGCUCUGGAAACGGAGAACAGCCUUUUUUAUUUUGUUUGAUGCUCAGCUAGGUGUGUGUUAGGGGGCAUAAGGACUGGAGCUUCAGGAUGGA